UGUCACCUCAAGAAGAAAGAGAAAAAUAGGAGGUAGAGUAAACUUACCCCAUAUACACCUCAGCUCAGGCUCUUUGCCUGGUCUGUAUUGUGAAUGGGGAGACAUUG
rnacentral:snoRNA from 1 species